rnacentral:rRNA from 1 species
CUAGCCGUAAACGACGGAUACUAGGCGUUGUGAGUAUCGACCCUCACAGUGUCGUAGCUAACGCGUUAAGUAUCCCGCCUGGGGAGUACGCGCGCAAGCGUGAAACUCAAAGGAAUUGACGGGGGCCCGCACAAGCGGUGGAGUAUGUGGUUUAAUUCGAUGCAACGCGAAGAACCUUACCAGGACUUGACAUGUCGCGAAUCUCAGGGAAACUUGAGAGUGCCUUCGGGAGCGCGAACACAGGUGGUGC